rnacentral:rRNA from 1 species
UACAGAGGGUGCAAGCGUUAAUCGGAAUUACUGGGCGUAAAGCGCACGUAGGUGGGUACUUAAGUCGAAUGUGAAACCCCCGAGCUCAACUUGGGGACUGCAUGCGAUACUGAAUACCUAGAGUAUAGUAGAGGGAAGUGGAAUUUCCGGAGUAGCGGUGAAAUGCGUAGAUAUCAUUUGGAACGCCAAUGGUGAAAACAGCUCGCUGGGGGUGCACUGACACUGAGACACGAAAGCCAGGGGAGCGAACGGG